rnacentral:rRNA from 1 species
AUUAAAGUCCACCCUACGUUGAAAGAGGCCAAACUUUCUCAAUGUUGGAAACAAAGCAGGGUUGGGUCUGGUUAGUACCUGGAUGGGAGACUGCCUGGGAAUACCAGGUGUCAUAGGCU